UACGUAGGGUGCGAGCGUUGUCCGGAAUUAUUGGGCGUAAAGAGCUCGUAGGCGGUGUGUCGCGUCGGUCGUGAAAACUCGGGGCUCAACUCCGAGCCUGCGUUCGAUACUGGAUGGCUAGAGUCUGGUAGGGGGAUCUGGAAUUCCUGGUGUAGCGGUGGAAUGCGCAGAUAUCAGGAGGAACACCAAUAGCGAAGGCAGCUCGCUGGGACGUUACUGACACUGAGGCGCGAAAGCGUGGGGAGCGAACAGG
rnacentral:rRNA from 1 species